GAUGAACGCUGACAGAAUGCUUAACACAUGCAAGUCAACUUGAACUUCGGUUUGGGUGGCGGACGGGUGAGUAACGCGUAAAGAACUUGCCUCACAGCUAGGGACAACAUUUGGAAACGAAUGCUAAUACCUGAUAUUAUGAUUAUAUGGCAUCGUAUAAUUAUGAAAGCUAUAUGCGCUGUGAGAGAGCUUUGCGUCCCAUUAGCUAGUUGGAGAGGUAACAGCUCACCAAGGCGAUGAUGGGUAGCCGGCCUGAGAGGGUGAUCGGCCAAAAGGGGACGGAGACACGGCCCUUACUCCUACGGGAGGCAGCAGUGGGGAAUAUUGGACAAUGGACCAAGAGUCUGAUCCAGCCAUUCUGUGUGCACGAUGAAGUUUUUCGGAAUGUAAAGUGCUUUCAGUUGGGAAGAAAAAAAUGACGGUACCAACAGAAGAAGUGACGGCUAAAUACGUG
rnacentral:rRNA from 1 species